rnacentral:rRNA from 1 species
UAAUACAGAGGGUGCGAGCGUUAAUCGGAAUUACUGGGCGUAAAGCGCACGUAGUCGGCUUUGCAAGUCGGGUGUGAAAUCCCCGGGCUCAACCUGGGAACUGCAUCCGAGACUGCAUUGCUAGAGUAUGGGAGAGGGAAGCGGAAUUUCUGGUGUAGCAGUGAAAUGCGUAGAUAUCAGAAGGAACAUCAGUGGCGAAGGCGGCUUCCUGGACCAAUACUGACGAUCAGGUGCGAAAGCGUGGGGAGCAAACAGGAUUAGAUACCCUGGUAGUCCACGCCCUAAACGAUGAGAACUGGAUGUCGGGAGGGUUUGCCUUCCGGUGUCGUAGCUAACGCGUUAAGUUCUCCGCCUGGGAAGUACGGCCGCAAGGUUG